rnacentral:rRNA from 1 species
UACGUAGGGUGCAAGCGUUGUCCGGAAUUAUUGGGCGUAAAGAGCUCGUAGGCGGUCUGUCGCGUCGGCUGUGAAAACCCGGAGCUCAACUCCGGGCCUGCAGUCGAUACGGGCAGACUGGAGUUCGGCAGGGGAGACUGGAAUUCCUGGUGUAGCGGUGAAAUGCGCAGAUAUCAGGAGGAACACCGGUGGCGAAGGCGGGUCUCUGGGCCGGUACAGACGCUGAGGAGCGAAAGCGUGGGGAGCGAACAGG